CAGUCGCCACGGUAAUACGAAGGGGGCUAGCGUUGUUCGGAUUUACUGGGCGUAAAGCGCACGUAGGCGGAUCGAUCAGUCAGGGGUGAAAUCCCAGAGCUCAACUCUGGAACUGCCUUUGAUACUGUCGAUCUGGAGUAUGGAAGAGGUGAGUGGAAUUCCGAGUGUAGAGGUGAAAUUCGUAGAUAUUCGGAGGAACACCAGUGGUGAAGGCGGCUCACUGGUCCAUUACUGACGCUGAGGUGCGAAAGCGUGGAGAGCAAACAGGAUUAGAUACCCGCGUAGUCCCUGUCUCUUAUAC
rnacentral:rRNA from 1 species